rnacentral:rRNA from 1 species
CGGACCUCAGAUCAGGCAAGACUACCCGCUGAGUUUAAGCAUAUCACUAAGCGGAGGAAAAGAAACUAACAAGGAUUUCCUCAGUAACGGCGAGCGAAC